UGCGGGAGCCCAGGUCCUCGCCCCUACCGGCUGAGUUACGGGGCGCCGCCGGGAGCGCGGGACGGGCGGGCGGGGAGCCAGGCGGACGGAGGACAGCGCCGGCCCGGGAAGACCGACGCGAGCCCCCGGCCACCUCUGAGACCCGGUGGCCGCCGCGGAGCGGCGCCGAGGCUGCAGCGCUCGGGCUCGGGACGGAAAGCCGGCGUCGGGGACGCCUUCCCGCAGCCGGCCACGGGCGGCCGUCCCAAGUGCAAGUGGCUGCGGGCCAGGGCGCUGAGGCGCGGCUGACGCCUGCCUGUGAGAGAGCCAGUGCUCUGGGCAGGUACAAAGUGCAAGGCUGGACUGUCCCCGGACGCGCCUGGGCGCCGGGCCCGGCAAAGCGUCCUGGAGUCCCCCGGCGUGCAGGGCGCGGAAACCUGUGCGCCUGAAUAGGAGUCCUUACCAUGGAACAUGGUCUGCGGGAGGCGGGCGUGGUCAUGAUGACCGCAACUGCAGCAGGAGCAAGCUCUCACCGCCCAUAGUCGCCGCCAGGACCCUGGGCUUCCGCGCAGUUGCCGGGAGUCCGUGCCGGGUAGGGCGGUCUCUGCGGCUCGUUCCUUUCACCCACGCCGCGCCUGCUGCUUCAUGCAUCCCAAGGGGGGCGGCACACACCACGGCCCGGCUCUGCGCUUUGCCUUUCCCAUAACUUCCGUAGGAUCGGCCGGCAAUGUACUUUCAGUUUCUACUUUGCGCUGGGUCUGCAGGUUCGAUCUUUGGGUUCACCACCCGGGCGCCUUCACCGCCCCACCUCCCUGGAGCACCUGCGCCCUCCCCCAGCUCUUUCAGGGCACCUGAACCGGCACCAGAGGAGGGCGCAAAUUUCCAAAGCACCACAGAAGGAGCGAGACGGCCUUCUGAAUGAGAACAAUUCGAGGCGAAACCCUUCCCAAAUGACCUCUAACCGCCUUGGCAAAGCAAGGCGACUGGGAUCUAAAAGCAUUGGCUGCUAAUGUGUCCACGGAAGCCGCAAAUGUGUAGGGCGAAAGCUGGGCUAUUGCAAGCCUACGCCACAAGGGAGGCGUCGCCACGGAUGUAGUGAUGCCAAGUCGUCUUGGGGGAAAAAAAGGAAGUAAAGAAUGUUUAAGAGGGUCACGCCCUCAGCCCCUCAACCUCUGUAAUCAGUCUCUUUCUGCCCAGUGGUUUGUAGAUGCACCUGCCCAGGUGAGACCUCAAAGAAAAAAUAAUCCUGUGGGUGCAUCUAAUCUGAGUCAUUACGAAGAACAGGUUUGCAUCCUUGGGCUGAGGAAGAAGAAACACACUGGACUAUUUCUGCUUGAUUCAUUAUCUCCUUAGGGAAAUUCAGCACUUCUAGUCUUGCUCUAUAUCACUCUAUGUUCCAUUACUAGUCCUCUUUCCUAAAUCCCCUCCCUUGAAUGGGAGAGAAGAAUGGAUGUCAGCCAAGAGAAGAGUCAGAGUGAGGAAGAUGUACAUUAACACAAACAGGUACAGAGAUGAAACAAAAGGUAGAGAUAAAGAAAAGGAGAGAAAAGACACAUCUUCAAGAGAUACUGAGCCAUGAUGCUGCAGCAUAACCCGCCAGAAAGUCAGAUCUAGUAAAGGCAUUAAUAUGUGUGAAGAAUCUCACUUCUUUCUUAAAAGGAAAAUAAGGAACAAGAGCUUCUCAGAGAGAUAUCAUGGUCAGAAUGGGAACAAUGUUUAUCUGUUUGCAAGUUUCACUCAAGCUUACAGUGACUGCAUAACCAAUCUUGACUUCAAGAAAAGUCUUUUAAUUUCUCAAGUUGGAUAAGGGAAAUAUCCACAAGUACUCUUCAAAAGCGAAAUUGCAGCAGCAAAGAAGGAAGGAAAGAGGAAGAGGAAAGAAAGAGGGAAAGGCCAGUUAUUAACCAGAAUGCCUGUCUUCUGCUAUUAAAAUAUUGGUAAGCCAAUAAAAAAUUGUAUUGUUCUUAGAAAUUUGAAAACAGAAUAUAUUCUGUGUCAUGUUAUAAAUCCAGAAUGAGAAUACUUUAUUAUGCAUUAUCAGUUUUCAGGAAAAAACUUCUGGGGCACACCAACAAAAGCAAGCUAGUUUUAUUUGUUUCAGAGCAAGUAAUACGUUUAAUGUAUUCAUCUUAAAAAUCAGUCAUUAGGACAUUAACCAAUUAUGAAAUUAAAAAUACUUAAUUUCCUGUUCCCUCUAAGUUAACCACAGGAACCCACAAUGGUUAAGAGCAUGAGUUCUACUUAUACAGAGCUGAGUCUACUACUUAUGUGACCUGUAGCCAGUUAUUUUUCCCUUCUCUGUGCUUCUCUCUCAUCUAUAAAUUGGGAAUAAUGACAGUAUCUAACUCAAAGAAGUUUGUGAGAAUUAAAUGAGUUAAUCAUUAUAGUAAAUUUAGUGGAGCACCUUGCGUAUUGUAAAUUCUCAACAUGUGUUGGCAUCAUUAUUAUUAUUUUAAAAGAAAUACAGAAAGUUGUAUUAUGGCCUUCAUAAAUAUGGUUAACAGCUACGCCACCAUAACAUAAAUUAUUUUUAAAGAACCUUAAAAUAAUGAAUAUGAUUUCAGCAAGGCCUAAAACAUUAUUUAUUUCUAAAUAUGGAAAUCUGAGGAGCCUCAGGGGAGAUUUAAUGAAAUCCUGAUAAAGCCAGGCAGUGGACUGGGUUGCCCUCCAUCAUUGGCCAAAUAAAAUGCUUCCUGAAAUUUGCCAGAUAAAAAAUGAAUCUGAGCUUGGCUUCAUGGUGGCAAGUAAGUCAUCUUAGAAAUGAGUUUAUAGGAAACUAAUUCAAUAACUGAUAGAUUCAAUAAUUUAUAAGGCAACAUGCCAGAUUUUGCAGGGAUUUGCUUAAUUUCCCAAAGCUGAAGUUUUGGGAGAAUGGCUCUCAGAAAGAAGACAAAUUUUAUCAAACUGUGCAUAAAGAAUAUAUUGUUAAUAAAUAUUUCCAUUUUUGUUUGA